GUUUUCGGCCUUCAUUCCCAUCUCUGAUUAGAAUUAACACCCACAAAUUCAUAUGAAAAUCCUCAGCCGCUGCGAUUUCUUCUACUUGAUGAUUUAUUUUGCAACCAAUGGAUCAAAUAAUGGUUAGGAGGCGACACUGACCAUGAAGAUAUAAAAUCCAAUAAUGGUGACGAAAAUGAGGAUGCAGAGAAUCGGGUGGUGCGUUGUCGUCGCCAAAGUAUUGAGGAGUUUUCUUCAAGCAGAGUCUCAUCUAUUGGUUUCGGAUCUACAACCGUUCGAUAACGCCUAGAUGUUUAUAUUUAUUCUAAGGACGAAACAAUUAUAACUUCAUAAUGAAUUGUAGCUGCUGAUUGGUACUGCAUUAAGAAGACUUUUCCCUUACGAUUGCACGAAAGCAUUUGCUCGAGCAUGGACAGGCUGACGCCAGGUCACUCGGUAAAGCUAGGGAAACUUCAUUGGCUAUAGGUUGGACAUAAACGAGGAAGAUUGUUAAUAAAUUUCAAAGAAGAAAAACAAUCGAAGAAAAAAAAACACAUUGGCUCGCAUACGGACAUAAUUGAAAAGAGGAUCAGACGAAUCUCCGAUAAUGUUUGUGUGCCUAACCGUGGGAAGCUGAAGCCGGAGCAGCGCAUAGGGUUUUAAUCGGCCAUGGCAUUAUCAGCUGUUUUUUGCGUAGCAGGAUGGCUUGCAAAUUUUUUCACCAUGUGAUCUCUUUUAGUUGAUACGGGUCGCUUCUUCACUGAUCUUGCAUAGGGUGGGUUUCUGCAAAUGGGGUUUGGCUAUUUGUUGGAUCAUUUGCCAAGUAGAGACGGUAGAUUUUAAAAGGUUGUUAUUGCGUUAAAAGAAGAGGUAAAGGUGUUCAAGAUAUGAUUAAAUGUGGAUAUGACGAUGCAAGGCAUCAUUGAAUUCCAAUAACUAUCAGUGAUGUGUUUAACGAUCACAGCUCUAAUCAUGUAUUAUAUAAGAGAUACACACCGAUGGAACAAAUAACAUUCUUUACCAUAAUUCUUUUAUUAUUGUUUUUUUGUUCUCAUGAAUUAUAUCUUGCAUAGUACAGGUUCAUGAUGCCAAUGGGGAAGCCGACUUACAUGUUACAUGAAAGUGAAGCAUCAAGAUGACAAUGUUGAAGCCGAGAUACACCAUGUCAAGAAAGAGGAGGUCUGGGAGAUAGGCCAAGGUGGCAAGGCAUUAUCAUGGUAGGGUGUUGAUGCUUAUUGAAAGUGAGAAACGACAAAAGGUUUUCAAACGCAGGCGUUGCUAUCCACAAAAUUAUUCAAGAUAUCGAGGUUUUUGGUUUUUUUUUGUAGUAUAGAAAUAGAUCUA
rnacentral:lncRNA from 1 species